UACAGAGGUCUCAACCGUUGUUCGGAUUCAUUGGGCGUAAAGGGUGCGUAGGCGGUCGUGCAAGUCGGAUGUGAAAUCUCAGGGCUCAACCCUGAAACUGCAUUCGAUACUGCGCGGCUAGAGUGCUGGAGGGGAGACUGGAAUUUACGGUGUAGCAGUGAAAUGCGUAGAUAUCGUGAAGGAAGCACCGAGGUGGAGCGGAAGGCCGAGGUCCUCUGGACAUGCAACUG
rnacentral:rRNA from 1 species